GAUGAACGCUGGCGGCGUGCCUAAUACAUGCAAGUAGAACGCUGAAGGAGGAGCUUGCUCUUCUGGAUGAGUUGCGAACGGGUGAGUAACGCGUAGGUAACCUGCCUGGUAGCGGGGGAUAACUAUUGGAAACGAUAGCUAAUACCGCAUGACAACAGUUAUUGCAUGAUAGCUGUUUAAAAGGGGCAACUGCUCCACUACCAGAUGGACCUGCGUUGUAUUAGCUAGUUGGUGAGGUAACGGCUCACCAAGGCGACGAUGCAUAGCCGACCUGAGAGGGUGAUCGGCCACACUGGGACUGAGACACGGCCCAGACUCCUACGGGAGGCAGCAGUAGGGAAUCUUCGGCAAUGGACGGAAGUCUGACCGAGCAACGCCGCGUGAGUGAAGAAGGUUUUCGGAUCGUAAAGCUCUGUUGUAAGAGAAGAACGAGUGUGAGAGUGGAAAGUUCACACUGUGACGGUAUCUUACCAGAAAGGGACGGCUAACUACGUG
rnacentral:rRNA from 1 species